AUUGAACGCUGGCGGCAGGCCUAACACAUGCAAGUCGAGCGAGCGGCGGACGGGUGAGUUAUGUAUGGGGAUCUGCCUGAUGGAGAGGGAUAACUACUGGAAACGGUAGCUAAUAACGCCUGCCAUCAGCUGAACCAAAAUGGGUUUAUCUUGUAGGUGAGGUAACGGCUAACCGAGGCGACGAUCCCUAGCUGGUAUGAGAGGAUGAUCAGCCACACUGGGACUGAGACACGGCCCAGACUCCUACGGGAGGCAGCAGUGGGGAAUAUUGCACAAUGGGCGCAAGCCUGAUGCAGCCAUGCCGCGUGUAUGAAGAAGGCCUUCGGGUUGUAAAGUACUUUCAGUCGGGAGGCGUUACCGACAGAAGAAGCACCGGCUAACUCCGUGCCAGCAGCCGCGGUAAUUC
rnacentral:rRNA from 1 species